rnacentral:lncRNA from 1 species
GGAUUGAGGCACACUCUGUAUGAAGUAUCAUUAAACCUCGCUGUCCAUGGACCAAGGAAGAAGAAAGAGCAGCAGAAUCCAACUUGUGAAACUAAAGGCUUUGCAGUUAUUCCUUCCAUAUUUAUGAUGUGAGUCUAAUGGAAAGAACCAACCAUGGAGUAGAAAUACCAUUCUGUUUUCAAAGAGAGGACCUGUGUGGGCUCCAAAUGUGA